rnacentral:rRNA from 1 species
GCAAGUCGAGCGGUAACAGGAAGUAGCUUGCUACUUCGCUGACGAGCGGCGGACGGGUGAGUAAUGCCUGGGAACAUGCCUUAGUGUGGGGGAUAACUAUUGGAAACGAUAGCUAAUACCGCAUAAUGUCUUCGGACCAAAGAGGGGGAUCUUCGGACCUCUCGCGUCAAGAUAUGCCUAGGUGGGAUUAGCUAGUUGGUGAGGUAAUGGCUCACCAAGGCGACGAUCCCUAGCUGGUCUGAGAGGAUGAUC